CAAAUUAUGGCGAACCUCGUGUUUCGCGAGGUCUUGCGUCCAUUUUCGUAUUUAAAACAUCCCACUCUUUAAAAAGUAUUUAUCUAAUAAUAAAAAAAGA
rnacentral:misc_RNA from 1 species